rnacentral:rRNA from 1 species
GACGAACGCUGGCGGCGGGCUUAACACAUGCAAGUCGAACGGAAAGGCCCUGCUUUUGUGGGGUGCUCGAGUGGCGAACGGGUGAGUAACACGUGAGUAACCUGCCCUUGACUUUGGGAUAACUUCAGGAAACUGGGGCUAAUACCGGAUAGGAGCUCCUGCUGCAUGGUGGGGGUUGGAAAGUUUCGGCGGUUGGGGAUGGACUCGCGGCUUAUCAGCUUGUUGGUGGGGUAGUGGCUUACCAAGGCUUUGACGGGUAGCCGGCCUGAGAGGGUGACCGGCCACAUUGGGACUGAGAUACGGCCCAGACUCCUACGGGAGGCAGCAGUGGGGAAUCUUGCACAAUGGGCGGAAGCCUGAUGCAGCAACGCCGCGUGCGGGAUGACGGCCUUCGGGUUGUAAACCGCUUUCGCCUGUGACGAAGCGUGAGUGACGGUAAUGGGUAAAGAAGCACCGGCUAACUACGUG